rnacentral:tRNA from 1 species
GCGCUGGUGGCCAAGAGGCUAAGAUUGGUAAAGCCAAUAGCAAGCGAAUCCCUGCAGAGGAUUAGAUCGAGGGUUCGAGUCCCUCCCAGCGCU